GUAAUUUGCUAUCCCUAUAAGCUUUUCGCAUGGGAUCAUUCGUUGUGUUGGUGAAAGUUACGGGAAAAACUUACUCCAAUUCCAAUUUUUAUUGGAUAGAGUUGAUCUAGCUGAAGCUAUCUCCCAUGCAGAUAGAAUAUAAAAAGAAAGUAUAGAGAGAUGGUGAGUUCUCGAAAAUGAAUAAUUAAAAUGUUAACAUUUUAAUUUAUAUAUUUAACAUAACUUAGAAUUUGAAUCUUAAUUAUUUUUAAACCAUCCUGACUGAAUUAGAAAAACCGGAUUUUACAACCUGAUGACACUAUUUACAUAAACAGGAAACCGUUGCCACUGAAUAUGAAAUGUUGAUUAUACAGUAUUUUCAUUCAUAUUGAAAACCCAAUAUAAGAUGGCCUUUUUUCCCCCUUCCCACCCAAAUGAAGUGUGAGAGAAUUGUUAAGAUCUUCUGUAUGCAACCUUUGCUCCAAACUCGCUGACAUAUGUUCUUGAUGUAGCUUGCUUUAGUGUUCAUGUGAGAGGGUCUGAGUAUAUUCCACUUCUGGGAACCGACGAUCCAAGUUCUUUCCUGGUGGGAGUUCCAGAUAUUGAACUAUGAGCUAUCCAUUGGACGCUUUGUGAGAUCUGUCAAUGAGAGAUAGUCUGCUAGAAGGUUUUGGAGGUUGAUAUCAUUGCAUGGACCAAUCUCAACAAUAUUGUGUUUUUCCCAUGAUCAUCGAAGAGGAUGUUUAAGCUGUUCUUGUAAAGGUUGAUCAUUAUCACAUAAUGUUGUUGAACUUGUUCUAAAUAGUAUGAGAUUAAAGAAAACUGGUAAGUUUGAAUGAACUAUGCUAUCAUUCGAGCAUUUAAGC